CUCAAUAUUUAGAUGUGACUCUUGUCCACACCCAUUCAUUCAAUUGCUCUAAGUAAACGACAUCUGGUUAUAUUACACUGGAUUGACUGAUAAUGAUGUUGGUGUGGCCAGGAGUCAACUUAGCCCAACACAUACUGCUUUAUUGUUCAGUGACGUUGGACUGGCUGGUGUUCCUGCUCACUUCCUGUAAAAUGCACCUCCUGACCCUCAACAUCACACACCUGCUGUUAUUCGGCCAACAUACACCUUUCUAACGCAGCACACUGAAGCCAUGUAAUAUUUUUUUUAUAUUCUGUCAUGACUAUGAAAUGUUAUUGAUGUUACAAUGUAUAUUUAUUUAACCUCAUAAAAAGGUAUCCACCUUGUGUUUUAAUGUAAAGGUCUGGGAUUAUUUAUUUUUUCACAGCCCUUCAUAAAUGGGUACAUAUAUGGGACACUGUGUUUUCAUGGUGACAUUUGUGUGCACACUUAUAAGUCAAUACAUCACUUACACCACAGUUUCUCCUGUACAGUAUAAAAUGACAAUUGAAACAAAUACUCAAGUUUGUAUUGCAAUAAAAACCCUGUGUGUUA